rnacentral:rRNA from 1 species
AACGAACGCUGGCGGCAUGCCUAACACAUGCAAGUCGAACGAGACCUUCGGGUCUAGUGGCGCACGGGUGCGUAACGCGUGGGAAUCUGCCCUUGGGUUCGGAAUAACAGCGAGAAAUUGCUGCUAAUACCGGAUGAUGACGUAAGUCCAAAGAUUUAUCGCCCAAGGAUGAGCCCGCGUAGGAUUAGCUAGUUGGUGAGGUAAAGGCUCACCAAGGCGACGAUCCUUAGCUGGUCUGAGAGGAUGAUCAGCCACACUGGGACUGAGACACGGCCCAGACUCCUACGGGAGGCAGCAGUGGGGAAUAUUGGACAAUGGGCGAAAGCCUGAUCCAGCAAUGCCGCGUGAGUGAUGAAGGCCUUAGGGUUGUAAAGCUCUUUUACCCGGGAUGAUAAUGACAGUACCGGGAGAAUAAGCCCCGGCUAACUCCGUGCCAGCAGCCGCGGUAA